GAUUUAGCUGAGGCCAGCCUCUCAGAAGUGGUGAAACUCUGAGUCACUGAAAUAAAAUAUUUUUCAGCUGCUCCUGUCAGCUGGCCUCCUCAAAUUGCCAUUCCUGUGUCUGUGGGUAAAUCUCCGCUACAGCCCUCUGCCUUCUCCUAAGUUGUGAGCUUCCCCUCCGCCUGAUGCUUCCAGAGGUAGGAACGUGGCUGCCUUCUGAGGCGUCCCUCAUCUUCAGACAGCUGCACAUAGGAGCAAGAUCGUUAGAGUAAGCCGGUAAAGUUCUUGCAGUGUCUUUUCUGCUUGUUCAGUGUCUUCUGGAGCAAGACUUCGUGGCGAUGGGGUGGAAGAGCGUGCAAGUGCUAAGGUUCGCCUCUCCUGAGGUCUCUGGUGGGGGCAGAGGGAGAGGAUUUGGGACCUUCUGGAACCCAAUAUUGUGACAGAACAGGACACAUGAAAUUGGCUCUAAAACGUGUUGCUAGUUGGUGCGUUCAGGGAUAGAAUAUCAUCCAUCCCCACUCCCCAUCAAGACUAGAACUAUCAACAAAGGGGACCUGUGUGUGCCAUGCUGGGUGGCCUCCCGCCACAUGGAAUGGGUGUACCCUCUGCCCGUCCACCAGCACUGUUUUCUGACUUGAUGUUUCUACAUGAUCUUCAUCAAACAGUGGACUGUGAAUUACAUGAAGGAGGCCCUGGAGAGUCCAUGGGUGGCUCAGCUCUGUGUCCCCGACUCUGCUGGACUUGCUGCCGUGGCUGGAGCCCACUCCUCUGAGCCACCCAACCCCUUUGACGUUCUGCUUCUAGGAUCUGGAAGUUACAACUGGGAGUCUGAAGAGCUGGGAGGCCCCCGACCUUUCUUAGGAGGUGUAGGACCCGCCUGCUGAUUGGCGCAGUUUGACUAAUGACAGCAGCGACAGCUGAAGACUGAGUAAGACCAUGUGGCAACUCAUGACUCCUCACAGACACCUGGAAGAAGCUACUUAGGCGAUGGCUGCUUCUCCAUCCUCCGCUGACCCCAGAAACAAGCUGGCGGGGCGGGGUGGCUGGAAGGGAGAAGUCAGGAUAAUCCAGGUGCCUCCUAAACCUAUAGCCCACCCAUGACUCUCUAAGCCUAGAAUAUGGGAGGCUCAAACUGCUGUUGGUUUUUGUUAAAACACUCCCCACUCCUGAAGUUUCUGAUUCAGUAGAAAUGUGUGUGUGGGUGGUGGGGGGAGUUUUGUAUUUCUGAAUUCCCAGGCGGUGCUGCUGGCCCAGGAACCACACUUUGAGAACCACUGAUAGAGAAAAAAAGAAUGUCUCCAGAUCCCCCAUUUUUCAUAUCUCAGCAUCUUCAGACUUCUCAAAAAUACUCCCAAAUAUUUGUAAAAAUAAACAGUUUCAACUUCUACA
rnacentral:lncRNA from 1 species